GAUACAGUGGGGAAAAUCAUCUAACCAAAUACAUCUCUCCAUACAAGACACAGCAUAUUUUGCUAGACAGUGCGCAGCUCCAUUUCCUUCCCGCGGGACAUGCUGUACCCGCCACUCCUGCAGCCCACUUAACAUUUCUGCAAUAUCCUGGCUUACAUGCCCAUAUUUGCCUCCCCUAUUAGCCUCAUAUUGGAUAGCUUGAACGACCACUCUUGCAUCUCCCUCCAGACAGACUUUCUCCAGCCCCAACUGUAGACAGAAUUCAGCUGCCGUCCAAGCUGCUAGAGUUUCGGCUCCUUCAGGUUCAGAACAAUACGGUCUCGAAUCGCACAGGGCUGCCACCACCUUCCCCAUAUGAUCUCUGGCCACCACACCAAAACCCAUCUUUGCCAUUGAAACAUCCAGAGAGGCAUCCCAGUUAAGCUUUACAAAACCUGCGGGAGGUCGUCUCCAUCUAGAUUCCGCCACUUCGACAAGAUAAGGGAACUUAAGAAAGAAAUCAGCUUCUUCUUAAUGGAGGUCGCUCUGCGCAUCGUCUCAUUCCCCUCCUUUUCUAAGAAUGGAAAGUCACAAGAACUUGGAAGAAAAACAUCCCUGAUCUCUUCUGCUCUACCUGAAACAGCCGCUUCUGUGGCAAUUGCUGCCACAAUUGUUGGUGCAGCAGCUACCCUUCUUGUAAGGAGAACUAAGGCUUCUGAGGUCACUGAGUUACGUUUGCAAGAGUGUGGAGAUUGUGGUGGUUCGGGUAUAUGCUCUGAAUGCAAUGGCGAAGGGUUUGUGCUUAAGAAAUUGUCUAAGGAAAGCGCUGAGAAGGCAAGAAUGGCAUCAAAGACUCUGGCCACACGAUAUACAGCAGGGUAUAUAUACUUUGCCUUCCCUCGCCCUUUGAUGCAUCUCUCUUUUCUCUCUAGUUUGAAAUCCAUUAAUGUUGGAAUAAAUCCACUGAUCGGAAAUGAAAUGAAUUGGGCUCUCUCAGGCUUCCAAAAAAAUGGAGCUAUUGUUCAAAGUGCUCCUCUGCCCGAUCCUGUAGUACUUGCGGUGGUCGUGGGAAGUUAAGCUACUAGUUUUGAUCUAAAAUCUUUGUCCUUAUAAAUCAGGCAUUAACUUAAAUGCAUCAUGGAAAUAUACAUUAGCUUACAUUCAAGAAGAUUGGAAGCGAAAGCGAGUUACUCCAUUUUUCUGUACUUAUUUUUUGAUGAUAAUCUGCCUCUGCUGUUUGAAGAGAUGCAUUGCAGUAUAAGGCACUGAUAUAUGACAGUAUAAGACGACCCUCGACUCUGUUUCUAACAUUACACUAUAUAGAGGCCAAAAGGGAAAAGUGAGAAUCCUCAACGACUUUGAGGCUACUCUACAGUGUGAGAUUUACUAGUUAUGUUUUGUGGACAAUCACUGCUAGAAAGACAUGAAAGGACAAGAAUUUUCCUUUGAUAAAUGAGAUUCCAAGAUUCCAUGGCAUUUGAAAGGACAAGUAAUUUCCUUCCCACGGCACUUGUCGAACUGCAUGAAGAAAUUGGAGCAAUUCGUGAUGACCAGCUUGUUUCUUCCCGUCAAGGGUGUUACAUUACUACUGUGUUACAUUACCACUUAUGUGAAAACGUUAAGCUUAUCUAGA